rnacentral:rRNA from 1 species
AGAGUUUGAUCCUGGCUCAGAACGAACGCUGGCGGCAUGCCUAACACAUGCAAGUCGAACGGGUGGUAGCAAUACCACCAGUGGCAGACGGGUGCGUAACACGUGGGAACCUGCCCAGAGGUUCGGAAUAGCUGCGGGAAACUGCAGGUAAUACCGGAUAUCGCCUGAGGGCUAAAGGAGCAAUUCGCCUUUGGAGGGGCCCGCGUCGGAUUAGCUAGUUGGUGAGGUAACGGCUCACCAAGGCGACGAUCCGUAGCUGGUCUGAGAGGAUGGCCAGCCACACUGGAACUGAGACACGGUCCAGACUCCUACGGGAGGCAGCAGUGGGGAAUUUUAAGCAAUGGGGGAAACCCUGAUCCAGCAAUGCCGCGGCCUUUGAAGGCCUUCGGGUUGUAAAGCCCUUUUGGCGGGGACGAUGAUGACGUACCCGCAGAUAG